AACGAACGCUGGCGGCAGGCCUAACACAUGCAAGUCGAGCGCCCCGCAACGGGAGCGGCGGACGGGUGAGUAACACGUGGGAAUUUUCCUCAAGGUACGGAACAACUCAGGGAAACUUGGGCUAAUACCGUAUGAUGUCUAGCGACCAAAGAUUUAUCGCCUUCGGAUAAGCCCGCGUCAGAUUAGGUAGUUGGUGGGGUAACGGCCUACCAAGCCUGCGAUCUGUAGCUGGUCUGAGCGGACGAUCAGCCACACUGGGACUGAUACACGGCCCAGACUCCUACGGGCGGCAGCCGUGGGGAAUCUUGCGCAAUGGGCGAAAGCCUGACGCAGCCAUGCCGCGUGAAUGAUGAAGGUCUUAGGAUUGUAAAGUUCUUUCGCUCGUGACGAUUAUGACGGUAACGAGAGAAGAAGCCCCGGCUAACUUCGUGCCAGCCGCCGCCGUAAGAC
rnacentral:rRNA from 1 species